UUCUUCGGAGGGUAUGCUUAAAGAGGGGCUUGCGUCACAUUAGUUAGUUGGUAAGGUAAAGGCUUACCAAGACGAUGAUGUGUAGCUGGACUGAGAGGUUGAACAGCCACAUUGGGACUGAGACACGGCCCAAACUCCUACGGGAGGCAGCAGUAGGGAAUUUUCGGCAAUGGAGGAAACUCUGACCGAGCAACGCCGCGUGAACGACGAAGUACUUCGGUAUGUAAAGUUCUUUUAUUGAAGAAGAAAAAAUAGUGGAAAAACUAUAUUGACGUUAUUCAAUGAAUAAGCCCCGGCUAACUAUGUGCCAGCAGCCGCGGUAAUACAUAGGGGGCGAGCGUUAUCCGGAAUUAUUGGGCGUAAAGGGUGCGUAGGCGGUUUGAUAAGUCUCUAGUUUAAUUUCAGCGCUUAACGCUGUCCUGCUAGAGAAACUGUCUUACUAGAGUGAGAUAGAGGCAAGCGGAAUUCCAUGUGUAGCGGUAAAAUGUGUAAAUAUGUGGAGGAACACCAGAGGCGUAGGCGGCUUGCUGGGUCUUUACUGACGCUGAGGCACGAAAGCGUGGGGAGCAAACAGGAUUAGAUACCCUGGUAGUCCACGCCGUAAACGAUGAGUACUAAGUGUCGGGGCAACUCGGUACUGAAGUUAACACAUUAAGUACUCCGCCUGAGUAGUACGUACGCAAGUAUGAAACUUAAAGGAAUUGACGGGAUCCCGCACAAGCGGUGGAUCAUGUUGUUUAAUUCGAAGAUACACGAAAAACCUUACCAGGUCUUGACAUAUUCUGCGAAUCUAUAGAAAUAUAGUGGAGGUUACCAGAAAUACAGGUGGUGCAUGGUUGUCGUCAGCUCGUGUCGUGAGAUGUUAGGUUAAGUUCUAAAACGAGCGCAACCCUUAUCGUUAGUUACCAGCAUGUUAUGAUGGGGACUUUAGCGAGACUGCCAAUGAAAAAUUGGAGGAAGGUGAGGAUUACGUCAAAUCAUCAUGCCCCUUAUGAUCUGGGCUACAAACGUGAUACAAUGGCUAUUACAAAGAGUAGCUGAAACGUGAGUUUUUAGCCAAUCUCAAAAAAAUAGUCUCAGUUCGGAUUGAAGUCUGCAACUCGACUUCAUGAAGUUGGAAUCGCUAGUAAUCGCGAA
rnacentral:rRNA from 1 species